UACAGAGGGGGCAAGCGUUAUUCGGAAUUAUUGGGCGUAAAGGGCGCGUAGGCGGCUUGGCAAGUGGAUGGUGAAAUCCCUCGGCUUAACCGAGGAACUGCCGUCCAAACUGCUUCGCUUGAGACCGGGAGAGGUGAGUGGAAUUCCCAGUGUAGCGGUGAAAUGCGUAGAUAUUGGGAGGAACACCAGUGGCGAAGGCGGGUCUCUGGGCCGAAAUUGACGCUGAGGAGCGAAAGCGUGGGGAGCAAACAGG
rnacentral:rRNA from 1 species